GUUUGUGUGUUAGUAGAUUUUACCUUUGAGAAAAGGGUUUUCGGAGUGGUGCCCUAAGGCACACAAAUAAGGUUUGAUGGAUCGUGUUGAUUUUACCUUGAACAAGGGUUUAUGAAAAAGAAUGUUUGUGAUUAGAUUACACUAAAGUCUAUGGGCGGAGGUGAAAAAUUCAGACAACAAGGCAAGCGUCUUGCGUCCAAAAUAAUCAGAGUAAGGGUAUGAAUGUUCCAUUCUUAGUCAUUCUCCACCACUUAA
rnacentral:lncRNA from 1 species